GUACCCUCAAGCUUUGCUUGGUGUUGGGCGUCUUGUCUCUCACGAGACUCGCCUUAAAAUCAUUGGCAGCCGACCUACUGGUUUCGGAGCGCAGCACAAUUCUUGCACUUUGAAUCAGCCUUGGUUGAGCAUCCAUCAAGACCCUAUGUUUUUUAAC
rnacentral:misc_RNA from 1 species